rnacentral:rRNA from 1 species
GGAGUUUGGGCCGUGUCUCAGUCCCAAUGUGGCCGUUCAUCCUCUCAGGCCGGCUACUGAUCGUCGCCUUGGUGAGCCGUUACCUCUCCAACUAGCUAAUCAGACGCGGGUCCAUCAUACACCGAUAAAUCUUUCCCUCCUGUAUCAUGCGAUACUGUAGGCAUAUGCGGUAUUAGCAGUCGUUUCCAACUGUUGUCCCCCUGUGUAUGGCAGGUUACCCACGCGUUACUCACCCGUCCGCCACUAAGUACAAACAAGAAUUCUCUCUUAGCAAGCUAAUUGAUCGUUCAGCGUCUGUACCCCGUUCGACUUGCAUGUGUUAAGCACGCCGCCAGCGUUCAUCCUGAGCCAUAUCAAACUCU